rnacentral:rRNA from 1 species
UACGUAGGUGUCGAGCGUUGUCCGGAUUUAUUGGGCGUAAAGAGCCCGCAGGCGGCUUGCCAAGUUCGAGGUGAAAUCUCCCGGCUCAACUGGGAGGGUGCCCCGAAAACUGGCAGGCUUGAGGCAGGGAGAGGGAUGUGGAAUUCCCGGUGUAGUGGUGAAAUGCGUAGAGAUCAGGAGGAACAUCCGUGGCGAAGGCGACUGCCUGGGCCAACACUGACACUGAGGCACGAAAGCGUGGGGAGCAAAC